GACAGAUUCCUGACUGAACCCACCCUGAUCUUACAGCUGAUCAGUAUAUAAACUGUAGCAACCCAGAGACAGAGAUAUUGGAAUAAGUGGACUGAGCAUAGAAGCAAGGAUGUGGACGUUGAGGACAGCACUGCUGGUGUCACUCUUAGCAUUUGUUUUUGCCAAACCAUUUCAUCCACGGAAUGGAAAUACACAUCUGGCAAUAAACAGGGCAUUUCAGGAGUCUGACUCCAUGGAAUCAAGUGAAUCAAGCUACAGGUCAGACAUGGAUGAUGCAAUUUCAUCUUCUGAAUCUAAUAUGUCUAAAUCCAGUGAAUCUAGCGGUUCUGCAACUAGCGACUCUGAAUCCAGUGAGUCUGCAUCGUCUGAGGAGGAUUUUCUCACCACUGCUGAACCAGAGACCACGAGCAGUAUAACUGUAAUACCACCGUCGACCACACACGGACAUAUCACGUGUUUUACUGUGCAUCAGGAAACUGAGCCUAGAGGAGACAACUUUUAGUAGCUGUACCUUUAAGCUUAAGAAAGUCACGUGAAUGUUUAGUUUUACCAAUUAGUGAUUUGCUGGUCUGAUCAGGUAGUUUAAAUGUUUAAAAGAAAAUUUCCAGAAUGUUCUAUAAAUGCAUGUUUGAGACACUUUUAAUUUUAUUUAGUGUUAUUUGAUUUUUCUUUGGUUUAUUGCAUCUUACUGACUUUUAUAUACUUAUUUUACAGUACAAUUUUUAUACCAAAGGUAAUAUAUACUGAGUACUCUACACUACACACAUUUGAGUGGUAGACUCAAAUAUUUUCAAUGCACUUUUGAGCUGUUAUGUUACAUGAAAUAAAAUUGUGAAACCAUUUAC